CAUCAGCUCCAUGUUCCUGCUCCAGCCCCAGAAUUCCUGUGACAGACCUGGGCAUGUUGAUUAGAGGCAGAUUGGUAGGACAUUGUACUAAAGCCAUGGAGUGUGGAGAACUCAGGGACCUGUUACGUAGAAACUAGAGAGACAAGAAUGUUGAGAGCAGUGCAGACGACAGUGGCCCAGCUUGUGACGUUUCAGAGGGAAGCAAAGACUCUACCAGGCCAUUUGUGUGAAGAAUCUGUGGUUUAAAAUGAGCUCGAGCUGAAGAACCAGCUGUGAUAAACAAGAGACCAGAACUUUGUUCUUCCGGGACAGUGGCCGAUGGACUGCCCCCACAUCAUUGAGGUGAAAUCUUGUGGGAAGUGUUUCCUCAGGACCAACACACAAGAGAUGUAUGUCAGAGCUGGGCAAGGUUGUGCUGCCUCAUGCUGUCACCCAGGAAGAUCAGAGAACUAAAUUUAAAGUCUCAUCAGGACCCUGGACCCACUUCUGGAACCAAUGAUGGUAUCCACUAAGGAUUUGGUCUUCAUUCACCCUGCCAGUCUCGGGAUGGCUGCAGCACAGAGCAGCAGGUAUGAGCUCCAGAGGUGGCACAGGUACAGGAUGCCCUCGUGGGUAAGGUACCAGAAGAAGUGUCUCCAGGCAAACUGCUCCUUUACAUAGGCUCUCAAGACUUGAUAGAGUGUGUGGCCUUCACUACACGACUGUUGGACACAUUCUUGUCUGCCAGCUAAAGGUCACUUGGGCAUUCGGACACCUUUUCCAAACAUCAUCACUCCCUCCUUAAGACGGAGUUUAUAGAUGGCAAGCCAAGUAUUCAUAGACAUUAUCACUGUGACACUGUAGGGUUUGAAGCACAGGAUAAAAAGUCACUUUAUGCCUCCUUAAGCGCCUUAUGCCUCCAACUUGCUAUGCAGCAAAAGACUAAGGGAGUGUCUGGGAAUGCCACCGCCAGCAGAGUAAUAAUCCAUCAGAGGCGAGACAGUAGUUGGGUUCAACUUAGUAACCAGUGCUGGUUCAAUCUCUGGAGCUCUGACCAUG